AAAUAAGUAAACUGGCGAACGGGUUAGUAACGCGUAGGCAACCUGCCCUAGUGACUGGGAUAACUCUGUGAAAACGGGGCUAAUACCGGAUAAUAUCUACUUUCUUUGGAAUUUAGAUCAAAGUAGGCUUCGGCUUACACGCUUGGAUGGGCCUGCGUCUGAUUAGCUUGUUGGUAAGGUAAUGGCUUACCAAGGCUACGAUCAGUAGGUGGUUCGAGAGGAUGAUCACCAACACUGGGACUGAGAUACGGCCCAGACUCCUACGGGAGGCAGCAGUAAGGAAUUUUGCGCAAUGGCCGAAAGGUUGACGCAGCAACGCCGCGUGAUUGAAGAAGGUUUUAGGACUGUAAAGAUCUGUCAUAAGGGAAGAAAUGUAUUUAUUCUAACAAAUUAUUUACUUGACGGUACCUUAUAAGAAAGCUCCGGCUAACUUCGUGCCAGCAGCCGCGGUAAUACGAGGGGAGCAAGCGUUGUCCGGAUUUAUUGGGCGUAAAGAGUUCGUAGGCUGAUUUAUAAGUCGAAAUUGAAAUACAAUGGCUUAACCAUUGACACGGUUUCGAUACUGUAAAUCUUGAAUUAUGUAGAGGUAAGUGGAAUUCCUGGUGUAGCGGUGAAAUGCGUAGAUAUCAG
rnacentral:rRNA from 1 species